UACGUAGGGUGCGAGCGUUGUCCGGAAUUAUUGGGCGUAAAGAGCUCGUAGGCGGUCUGUCGCGUCGGCUGUGAAAACCCGGGGCUCAACCCCGGGCCUGCAGUCGAUACGGGCAGACUAGAGUGCGGUAGGGGAGACUGGAAUUCCUGGUGUAGCGGUGAAAUGCGCAGAUAUCAGGAGGAACACCGGUGGCGAAGGCGGGUCUCUGGGCCGUAACUGACGCUGAGGAGCGAAAGCAUGGGGAGCGAACAGG
rnacentral:rRNA from 1 species